rfam:Roseivivax isoporae LMG 25204 contig61, whole genome shotgun sequence.
ACGGCGGGCCGGGCCCCUCUGACGGCGGGUGAUCGCCGUGAUGUCGGACCGCAUCU